rnacentral:rRNA from 1 species
UACAGAGGGUGCGAGCGUUGUUCGGAAUUUAUUGGGCGUAAAGGGCGCGUAGGCGGCGCCACAAGUCACCUGUGAAAACUCUGGGCUCAACCCAGAGCCUGCAGGCGAAACUGUGGUGCUGGAGUAUGGGAGAGGUGCGUGGAAUUCCCGGUGUAGCGGUAGAAAUGCGUAGAUAGUCGGAAGGAACGACCUGUGGCGAAAGCGGCUCACUGGACCAUUACUGACGCUGAGGCACGAAAGCUAGGGGAGCAAACAGG